rnacentral:rRNA from 1 species
CCGGGGGCUAAUACCGAAUAAUCCAGUUUUGCUUCAUGGCGAGAUGUUGAAAGACGGUUUCGGCUGUCACUAUAAGAUCGGGCCCGCGGCGCAUUAGCUAGUUGGUAGGGUAAUGGCCUACCAAGGCGACGAUGCGUAGCCGACCUGAGAGGGUGAUCGGCCACACUGGGACUGAGACACGGCCCAGACUCCUACGGGAGGCAGCAGUAGGGAAUCUUCCACAAUGGACGAAAGUCUGAUGGAGCAACGCCGCGUGAGUGAAGAAGGUUUUCGGGAUCGUAAAACUCUGUUGUAAGGGAAGAACACGUACGAGAGUAACUGCUCGUACCUUGACGGUACCUUAUUAGAAAGCCACGGCUAACUACGUG